UCUAGAAUGGCCGAGUGGUUAUGGCAUCAGACUCAUGAUUUGGCGAGCGUGGGUUCGAAUCCCACUUCUGGAU